UACGUAGGGUGCAAGCGUUGUCCGGAAUUAUUGGGCGUAAAGAGCUCGUAGGCGGCUUGUCACGUCUGCUGUGAAAACUCGGGGCUCAACCCCGAGCCUGCAGUGGAUACGGGCUAGCUAGAGUGCGGUAGGGGAGACUGGAAUUCCUGGUGUAGCGGUGAAAUGCGUAGAUAUCUGGAGGAACACCGGUGGCGAAGGCGGCAUCCUGGACCGGUAUUGACGCUGAUGCGCGAAAGCCAGGGGAGCAAACGGG
rnacentral:rRNA from 1 species